CUAAAUAUAUUAUCAUAUUAUAUUAAUGAUGGAGAGAAAAAGGAAAUGCCAAAUAUUUUUGAGUGGGAAUUAAUACAAGGAAAAAAGUUUUUUGAGGAGAGAUUAAGAGACAGAUGGAAACAGAAAGACAAGAUAAACAAUCAGAAAAAGGCAGUGAUAUUGAAACACAGGACAACAGACAGACACAGCAAGAAUAAUAGAGACAUAGAAAUAAAGAAUCACAGAAGCAGAGAGAGAAUGGGAACCAUUUGAUAGUGGUCAAGGGAAUGAGAGGAUAUAUCAUUGUGGGAGACAGUGAGCAAUAACCCACAAUUGAAGGAAAAUGGGAAAGGAUGGGACACCUGGCCACUAUAGCACAGACUAGCUAUGUAUCUUCACUAUUGUCAGAGCAAUAUAAUCAGGGUUUACUCUUUGAAUUUAAAUACUAUGAACUGCUGGCAAACUUUGUUUCUUUGGAGAAAUCACUUAACCUUUGUCAACCCCAGUUUUCUCCUCUUUAUGGAGCAGGACUUGAUGGUGUCUAAUGACUCUCAAGCUCUGUGAUCCUCUGAGAGCCAGAGAGAAAUGGAUGUCCCUUGGGAUUGAAGGGAAAGGAAAGAGAUAGAGUGAAUCAGGCAAUGAGACUGAGGAGACAGAGGAAAGCAUCCACAGUGCGUGUAGUGGAGGCAGUAUGUAGAACCAAACUUCUGGGUCUCCAAGCAGACGACUUGGAAGUCAGAAGGGCCUGAGUUUCAGUGCCACUUCAUAUGGUUACUAAAUGUUUGACUGUGGGCAAUUCAGUUAGAGAGUCCAAGACUCUUCCUUCUGUUAUACUCUAAUGGAGUUGGACUCAAUAGCCCCUAGAGUUCCACCUAAUUCUUAAUUCAUUUUCAUAUUGUUGAUAUUGAGAAAAAGAAAAGAUCACUUAUUAUUGGUUGGGAAUGAGAAGAUAAAAAAAACUUCUGAGGAGAGAGAAUGAGGGAAAUGAGGCAAGGAAGAGAGGUUUGGAGUGAGUGAGUGUGUGUGUGUGUGUGUGUGUGUGUGUGUGUGUUAGAGGGUGAGAGAGGGAACAUUAGGUUUGGUUAGUAUUGAGGGAGAAGACCAUUGGGGCUGGGUUUGAGUAUAGGAGAACACAGGUAGAACCCCACCAAUGAGUAAUACACAAAGGUAAUGGAUACUUGAGCCUUGUGGAGGGAGAUAGCUAGGUUUUAUACUGGAUGAAGGACCACAUUUAUAAUGAAGCCUUUUUGGAUUUGAAUCCUGAAACACACUGCCAAGCUGUGUUACCCAGGAAAUUCACAUAUUUUCUUUCAGACAAUGUUUCUACCUCUCUUAAUUGAGUUGGACUCAGUGGCCCCUAAGGUUCUUUCCAACUCUAAAUAUUUUUUAAACCUUACCUUCUGUCUUAGAUUCAAUACUAAGUAUUGAUUCCAAAUGCAGAAGAGAUUUAAAGACUAGGGAAUUGGAGAUAUGUAACCUACCCAGAAUCAUACUGCUAGGAAAUGUCCAAGACCAGAUUACAACCCAGGUCCUUCUCACUCCAAGACUGAAUUUCUAUUUACUGUGCCACCUAGCUGCCCACCAUGUCUGAAUCUAAGAUCAUAUUGGUGAUAGACAAAAAGAAAAGUCUAGUUAAUGGAUCAGAAUGAGAGCAAGGGGAAAAGUGCUUUUGUUGAGAAAGAAAGAGGGAGGAGGAGACUAAGAGAGAGGGACAGAGACAGGGAGAUAUAGAGAUAAAGACAGUGAGUGGGAGAGACAGAAGCAGAGAACCAGACACAGUGAGAGCAAGAGAGAAAGAGACACACAGAAAAAGAGGGAGGAGAGAACUUAAUGACAAUGAGCAAAGGUGUGAGGGAAGAGCCCUCAGCAUGAGAAACAGAGCUUGCAGAUCAUAGGCAAAGAAGAGUUGGAAAGGAAAGGGGCAUUUGACCUUUAUAGGUAUCUUGGUAUCAUGGGGAUUAGAACACUCUAGUACAGCUGACUAUUUCAAUUUGAAUUGUACAUCAGCAACUAACAAGCUGUGUGACUCUGGAGGAGUCAGUUAACUAUUGUCAGCCUCAUUGUCCUCCUCUUUAUAUUUAUGGGGCUGGACUUGAUGGUAUCUAAUGAUGCUUCAGAUUUAUGAUACUCUGAUAUCCAGAGAGAAAAGAUUGUCCUCUUGGGAUAGAGGAAGGGGAAGAGUGCUACAACUAGAGUGAAUAGGGCAUCCAGGAGGAGAGAGAGAGAUACCCAGGGAUGGGACCACUGGGAAGAGAGGAGGGAGGAAUGCCUGUGUCACACAGCUAGGUCUCUUAUUGGACUGUCCUUGGAAGUCAGCAUAUUCUUAGUCAAAAUAUAUAUCAAUAAGCGUUUGAACCUGGGCAAUUCAGUUAGAGUGUCUAAGCCUCUGGCUUCUGUUAUACUAUAAGGGAGUUUGGUGUAUGAGGUGUUCAGGGAAGACCAGCACCUCAGGUGUAAGGGCUUACUGAGCCCUUUUCAAGGCUGCUUUCCUCCUUUGGUGUCUACCUGCCACCCAAUUCUCCUCUGUGGCUCCAAGAAACUGUAGCAUUGCAGAGGCCACAAAACCAGGUUAUUGAAAGGCCUGAAACCCAUAUGUGAGUUGAAGAAGGUGUCUACCCCAAGCAUAUGAGGACUUCCCCUGGAGAAAUUGGUAAUGGGAACAAAUUGUUCCAAAGGCCUUGAAGGCAGCUGGAGUCCAGUGCUAUGGAGUACCUAUGCUCUGGCCAGCCUUUGAAGUCCCUGGAAGAGAGAGAGUGAGUCUGAGAAUUACCUGCAACUCUGCCUCGCUUUAAUCCAAUUCGUGCACAAGUCAGGAGAUAUCACCAGUGAUGUCAUUUUGGUCCUCUUUUAGACAAAUGUCAGCAAUCAAUGGAGUUGGACUUAAUUGCCUUUAAGGUCCUUUCCAGCUCUGAAUCUUUCACUGUAUUGAUAAUAAAGAAAAAAAGAAAAGACCAGUGAUUACUGAGUGGAAAUUAGAGCAAGAAAAAAGCUCUUAAGGAGAAAGACAAUAGAGGGAGAUGGAGAGGGCAAAAAAGAGAGGGAAUUAGGGAGAGAAGGAGAUAGAAUAUGAGGGGGGAUAGAAAAUAGUUUUUAUUACUGGGUGGGAAUAGGUACAAGGAAGAAAAUGUUUUGAAUAAAAUCAGAGAGGAAGAAGGAAGAGGGAGACAGCUAGAGAAUAAAAGAGCAAAAGGGAGGGGAGAAAGACUGUGAAAGGGAUCAAGAAAGGGAGAUAGAGAGAAAUAAUGAGUUAAAAUCAGAGAGAAUCAAACUGGCAGAUAAAGGCAACUGGAGACAGAGACACAAAGAGAUACAGAUAUCCAAAAGGAUUAACCCAGAAAUAGAAAAAGAUACCCUCUUGAUCAUGGGAAAGAAAAUGAAGAAAAAGACCAAUGUGGAAGACAGUGAGCAAUCAAGGAAGGAAAUCCUCAAUGAAGGAGACAUGGAAAGGGAAGGGACUGUGAUAAGUGUAGGACAAACUAGCUUGGUGUCCUAGUGGAUAGAACAUUCUCCUUGUAGUUUACUGUUUAAAAUUCAGUCUGGCCUCACUGGCUGACACUCUGACUCUGGAGAAGUCACUUUAACCAUUGUCAGCCACAGUUUUCUCUUCAACAGUAUGAUGGAGAUAUAUUUGAGGAUGUCUAAUGAUACUCUACCCCUAUGAUUCUCUGGAUACCAGUGAGAGAAAAGGAUCUCCCUUCAUGAUUAAACUAGGAGGAGAAAGUUAGCGAAAACAGAGAGGGAAACAGAAAAGGAUUAGUAGAAUAGGGGUGGGGCAGAAUAUGUGUUUCAGAGAGUUAUAUAUCUCUUAGGGAACUCUACUUGGAAGUCAGCAUUACCUGAGUUCGAAUCCUGAUUCAUACAUAUUACUCUUAGCUCUUUGAUGCUGGGCAGGUCACUUAAAUUAUCCAACCCUUGCUUACCAAGCUUAGGCAUGCUAGUACUGGACUUCAUAGCCCAAAAAGAUUUCAUCCAGCUUCUAAUCCCUGCUGAUAAGGGAGAUAAAGCCAAGAGAAUGUAGUAUUCACUGAGAUUAAGAUUAAGAUAGUAGGUUUCGAGGAUGGGAGAGAAGCAGAAGGAAGGCAUUUUUGUACAGCAGGGAAAAGAAAAGAGGAAAUGGAAGGGAAAAAAGGUUUGUGGGGCAUGACAGAAAUAUCAGUUACUUAAGAAAUAUCUUUUCUGGCUACAAUAUGUACCAAGCAGUAAGUGGUGCCCUGGGAAUAUAAAUAUAAGGAAACAGACAGAGAGUCCCUUCCCUCAAGGUGGUACAUUCAAGUGAUGGAAGAGAGCAGAGUAAAGGAAGCUAAAAAGUGAGCAUGACCCUGGGGAGGAGGAUAGUCAGUGAAGGGUGCAAGAUGAAGAUGUCCUGGGAAGAAACAAAGACAUGAGUGGAGCCAUCCCUUCACAGAGACAUACCAGGGUCUUCUGGUCUUUUUGUGAUAUGAUUUGGAGAUCUGAAAACACCUUCCAGGUGGAAGCAGUUUCUGGGGCAUGAUAUAGGAGUACAGAGGGCAACCUGAUGAGAAACAAACAGUACUUAAAAAUGGAGUCAUAACUCCUGGAGUUCAAAUUCCACUUCAGACUCAGUGAAGGGGGUUUGCUCAGGAUAUUUAAUCUCUCAUAGACUGGCUUUGGUUCUCUGGACAAUGCAUUUCAGUUUGUUGGCCCAUAAUUUCCCUGAUGAAGGUGAAAGAAGAGAGUGUAAAAGCUUGCUUUGAAGGUUAACAUCUAAAAAUCUGAAACUUGGUCAACUGGUCCCAUCACUUCCUGGCAAGUCAAAGAAGAGUAGAAGAAUGUCAAAGAAUGGAAGCAGUGUCAAAUUUCCUCUUUGUGGGCUCAAAGAUAAGUGCAGACAGUGACCACAGCCAUAAAAUUAAAAGACUCUUGCUCCUUGGAAGGAAAGCUAUGGGAAAUCUGGACAGCAUUCUAAAAAACAGCAAUACCACUUUGCCCACAAAGGUCUGUAUGGUCAGAGCUAUGGUCUUUCUAGUUAUCAUGUAUGGCUGUGAGAAUUGGACUCUAAGGAAAGCUGAGGGGCACAGAAGUGAAGCUUUUGAAUGCUUUCUCCAGUGAUGCUGGAGAAGACUAUUGAGGGUCCUUUGGACAGCAAAAAGAUCAAAUCAGUUUAUGCUUAGAGACAUUAACUCAGAUUAUUGAGUGGGAGGUCAAGUACUAGAGCUGAAAUUUUACUUUGUCCUAAUAACAAUGAGACAGGAGUCAUGGGAAAAGUCCCUAAUGUUGUGAAAUAUUGAAGGCAAAAGGAGAAGAGGUUGCCUGAGGUUGAGAUGGAUAGAUGUGUCAUGGAAACAGCAAACAUGGACUUGGAUAGACUUUGAGCGACUGGGGAGCAUAGAAGAACCUGACAUCCAUGGCUCAAAAGAGUUGGACAGGACUGAAACACUAAACAACAAAAACAACCACAACAAAAUUUCCUUUUAGCUCAAUUCCCCUGUGAAUGACAAAUAGAAAAGAACUCCCAUGUAAUUCUAGAGAGAGGAGAGGAAAAGACAUUGCAUGAAUGGGCCACUGAGUAAAGGAGAAACAGAAAGAGAAAAGCCAACUAGAAAUGGGGCUUGUUAUUGGGAAAGGUAGCAAGUUCUUCCAGAGAAUGAGAAACAGUAAAAGAGAUAGAGAUGGAGAAACAUAGAAACAAAACUGCUUGACAGUAAAGACAUGAAGAGAAAAGGCCAUUGUGGAGGACAGAAAGCAAUAGAAGAAGAGAGGCCACAGGUGAGGAAGAGCUAUAAAGGAAAUGGACACCUUGUAGUUGUAGGGCAAGCCAGCUAGGUGUCCUAGUGGACACAGUGUUCUACGUAGAGUCAACUAUUUGAGUUUAAAUCCCACUUCUGUAGCUAACACACUGUUACUCUGGAGAAGUUACUUAACCACUGUCAACUUCAAUUUUCUUUUUAGUAAAAUAUUGGGGCUGCUCUUAUUGGUGUCUAAUGAUGCUGAAGCUCUAUGGUUUCAUGGGUAGCAGAGAGAGAGAGAGAGAGAGAGAGAGAGAGAGAGAGAGAGAGAGAGAGAGAGAGAGAGAGCGAGAGAGCAGAAAAAACCCUUGUGGAUUUGCAGUGGGAGAAGAAAGUAGGCAUUAGAGGAAAUAGAGCAUCAAGGAUUAGAGAGAUAGAAAGAAAGGAGAUCUGAGAAGAGGGAUCGGAAGUUUACAUAUAUUGUAUAAUGAUGUUCCUAAGAGUUCUGAUCUUUGAAGUGUCGUUGACCUGACAUCAAAUCCAACUUCACAUUCUUCUUUAUUAUUAUUAUUAUUAGAAAUGGGACAAUUCACUUAAGGCAUCCAAGCCUCUGUUUCUUCUGUUAUUCUUACAUGGAUUUAGACUCAGUAUCUCUUAAGGUUCCUUUUAGGCCUAAAUAUAUGAUCAUAUUGGUUAUAGAGAGAAAAGAACAAAAAGAAAAAGAAAAAUAGGAAGAGAAUGAGAACAAGGAGAAAGAAUUUUGAGGAGAGAUUUGUAAAGAUUGGAGGGGAGAAAGAGAUAGGCAGACAGAUAGAUGGACAAAGGUACAUAUAAAAAGAAAGAGAGCACCACUAAGUUGUACAGGAUAGUAAGGGAAGAGGCCAUUGUGGAAGAUUUUGAAUAUAAGAAGCCUCAGGUAGAAGCCCAGAAAUGAGUGACAUUCAAAAGCAAGGUCCACUUGGUAUAGUGGGGAGAGAAAUACAGGUGUUAUAGUAUAUGGAGGGCUACUAUUUGAAUUUGAAUCUGGAUCCACAAUGACAUGCUGUGCUAGCAGGUGCAAUUCCCAUAAGUUCUCUUAAGCUAAGUCUCCUCCUUUCAAAACGGAUGGUACUAGAGCUCACAUCCUUUUAUUUUCCUCCAUCUCUAUGAUCUUAUGGGUACCACUGAGCCAAGAGAAAGUCCCUGUGUGUUGAAGAGGAAGAUGAGAGAUAGAAUUAGAGGGAAUAAGGUUUGAGUGAGGAGAAAGCCCAGAGAAGAGAUCACUCCAAGGGCAGGUGCAUAGAAUGUGUGUUUCAGAGAGCUAAGUCUUUAGUGGAUUGUUCCUGCAAGUCAAGAUUACCUAAGAUCAAAGGCUGCCUCAGACACAUUCCUGUUAGCCCUUUAUUGCUGGGAAAGUCACUCAAACCAUACAAACCUCACUUCCCUUUGCUUUAUAAAGUUGGGAUUAGACUCCAUAGCCCCAGUGAUUCCUUCCAGCUUCUAAUCUAUGAUGAUAUGAGAGAUAAAAACCAAGGGAACAGAGCAUAUGUUAUUCAUUGGGAUUAAGAAUAAGAUAGUAGGUUUUGAGGAGGGCAGAGAAACAGCUGGGAAGGAAUUUUUGUAGAACAGGGACAGGGAAAGUGAAAAAGGAUAAGAGAAGAAGCUUGUGGGACAUGACAGAAAUGUAGCUGGAGAGAGACAGACAGACAGAGAGAGAGAGAGAGAGAGAAAGAGAGAGAGAGAGAGAGAGAGAGAGAGAGAGAGAGAGAGAGAGAGAGAGAGAGAGAGAGAGAGAGAGAGAGAGAGAGAGAAAGCUGGAAUGAGAAAGAUAGUGAGAACAGGAAAAGUAAAGGUGCUGAAUCAGUCAGAAAAGACCUCUUGGUCAUUGGCAAGAGAAUGUAGAAGAGGCCACAGUAUAUGGAGGUGAGAGACAGGUAGGGGACCAAAUGUGAAGGGGGAGUGACAGACAACUUUAAUUGUGGGGAUUGGGAGAGAGGUUGCUAAGGGUCAUAAUGUAUAGAGACAAUAAGUUAGUUAUUCCACAAGUUUUAUUCAGCUUGUAAUAUGUUCCAGGCAGUAAACUAUGCCCUGGCAAUACAAAUCUAGGGAAACAAAAAGAGAGUCCCUGCCAUCACGGAGGUACGUCCUAGGAGUAGAGGAGGGCAGGGAAUAAAGGAAGCUGAAAAGUGAGCAUGGUCCUGGGUAGGAGGGUAGUCAGUCAGGGGACAAAAUGAAGAUGUCCUGAGUGUAUCCUGGUAAUAAAUGAAGAGACUGGUGAAGCCAUCCCUUCAGAGAGAGAUGCCUGAGGUUCUGCUGGUCCUUCUGAGAUUUGACUUUGAAGAAUGAAGGCAGAAGACAUUUCUUAGGCUUGAUGGGGAAGUCCUAAACUUAUCCUUAUGCAAAAUGAAGAGUUCUGCAUUUUGGAGUUGCAACUACUUGAUUUCAAAUCCCAGCACUAUGAAGGAAUAAACUUUUUGUCCUGAGGAAUGCUUUGGCCACCUCUGACAAAUUGAGAGUCUUCAAUGUCCAUUGGCAAGACCAAAGUCAAGAGGACUGGUGAUGACCUGAGAUGCAGUGGAUGACCUUUGUGCUUUUGAUGUCUGACCAAGCUCAAAGCACUCCACAUCGCCUAUUUCAACCACUUCCAGAGUCCUUGCAACAAGUAGUUCUCUACUUCCCAUUAUCCAGUCUUGGAGGUUUGUGGAAAGUGGUAGAUAGAAUACUAUAGAUAGAUAGAGUGAGAGUAGGAAAGAUCUGAGUAUGAAUCCCACUUUUCAAAAGUUCUAUAUACAUAACCCUAGGCAAGUCAGUUGUUUUACAAACAUCAUUUUCAUCUCCUCUGAGAUGUUGGGACUCUGCUCAGUGGCCUUUAAUAUUCCUUCCAGUUCUAAAUAAUCAUAAUAUUGGUGACAGAGAGGGAAAGAACAGGUCAUUUGACAUUCGGGUGGAUGGAAAGAGAUUUAGAAAGAGGCAAAAACAUUCUGAGGAACAGAGGGUAAAGAGAGAGAGGAACAGAGAGGAGAUAGGGAAUGGGAAGAGAAGGACGUAAAGGGAGAUAAAGUAUGCCAGAGAGCAUUUUGGAGAGGGAUGAAGUAAAGAGGCAGGAGAGAAUAAGUGUGGAAGAGAUUAAAAACUAAAGGAUAUCUUAGGAUAGUGGAGGCAGUAGCUAGGUCAAACAGUGGAAAAGAGAACAGAACUUGGAGUCAAGACAUUUGAGUUAGAAACCUUACCCAUAAUGACCACCUGUGUUAUUCCUGACAAUUUAUUUAACUUCUCAUUUUCUUCUUAUGUAAAAUAAAGAACCUGCACUUCAUUGCCUUUGAAGUCCCUCUAACUGUCUGGGUUUAGGGAGGAUGAAAGAGAAAAAUUUCACUUGGGAUUGGAAUGGGAUUAAAGUGAUUUGAGUAGAGUUGAUUGAGGUAUGGGGAGAGAGAUUAGGAGGGAAGGGACCAUUGGGAAUAUAAUUUAGGGACAAUGUGGAGGGAUAUAUGUAGUUCUCCAUGUUCGUAAAGGCCUCUUCUUGGGAGUACAUAUGACCUGAAUUCAAAUGCUUCCUCAUACACAUUCUUACUAGAUGUGUGACUCUGGGCAAGUUACUUCAAGUGUCUAAGCUUCUUUUUGUUAGGCCCUAAAAUAAUAGGUUUGGACUCUGUGACCUCUAGAGUUCUUUCCAGCUCUAAUUCUAUGCUGCUACUGGCUGCAGCACAAAAAGGAAAAGAUGACUUACAGAAUGUGAGGGAGAGCAAGGCAAAAGGCUUGUGAGGAGAAGGGAGAGACAAAGGGAAGAGCUUGCUGAGACCAGGGAAAAGGUUGAACAAAAGGGAAAGAAUAGCGGGGGAAAUGGAGCUGUUGAGUCAGAAGCAUGGAUUUCCAGAAACAUAGUGAUUGUGAGAGACGGAGAAAGAAAGAUACGAGGAUAGAAAGAGAGUCCAAGUGAGAGAGAACAAGAAAGGAAAGUUGACUAGGUAGGGCAGUGAUUGUAGAGGAUGGUCAGGGACAGUGGUGUUUCCACAAGGGAGAGAGAGUUGGAAAGAGAAGUGAGAAUUUUAUGCAUUUGGAGGUGUCUAGGAAGCAGCUGGUUACUUGUUAUCCCUUAUACUUGAAGAAGGUGAAAAUGACAUCAAUGGUGAUGACUUUGGACCCUUGCAUAAACUGGAUUUAAGGGAGGCACAUCAACUUCUUGCUUCCAGUCUGCAGCCUCACUCUAACUUCCAGAGUCAUUGAAAUCCAGUGGCAAGACAAAAUUGUGAAGAAGCUUGCUGAUGAUUUGUAAUGCAGUGGAUAAUGUUGGCUUCUUCAGUGUCUAACCAAGCUCUCAUUACUCCACAUCUCCUGCUUCUGCCAAUUCCAUGGCCACUGUAACAGAUUGUUUUGAUCUGCCCCUUCCACCAUGAAGAAAUCUUUACACACCUCAGGUAGACACACCUUUAUCUCACAGAUGUGACUGAAGCCUGUUGGCUACCCUCCAGCCUUGUCUAGGCAGCUGGUUGACACAGUUGACUGAACCAUGGCUGCUGGGCUUGCUACAGCUUCUCAGAGCCACAGGUGACAGGUGGGUGGCAGAGAGACACCAAAUGAGGAAAGUAUACUAGAAAAGGGCAUGACAAGCCCAUCCAGUACAGAGGUGCUAGUAUUCCCUGAACACCCUGUACAUUCUGGGAGACAGCUCAGUGUCAUGUGAUUGAGUAUUCUGGAAUCAGAAUUCCUUGAGUUUGAAUCUGAAAUCAGCUAGGGAAAAGUUGUUAUAUUUCAGAUGAACCUGUCUCAGCCACAGUUUUCUCUUCUGUAAAAGGUUAGGAGUGGACUUGAUGGCCUCUAAGAUUCCUCCAUCUCUGUGAUGUUAUGGAUGACGGGGAGAAAAGAUAGCCCACUUGGAACUGGAGUGGGAAGAGAGUGAGAGUUAUAGAAAGGAUAGUUGAUUAAGGAGAGAGAUAUGGAGGGAAAGGACCCCUGGGAAAAAGGCAAAAGACUUGCGAGAAGAGGAAGGCAAUGGAAAGGCUUGCUAAGGCCAGGGGAAUGAUUGAGUGAAAGGGAAAGAGCAGUUGGGGAAGUUGGGACAUUGUGUCAGAAGGGAAGGUUUCUAGAGACAGAAUGAUAGUGAGAGACAGGGAGAGAAAUAGGGAUAGAAAGAUAGAAAGAGAAGAGUCAAAAUGAGAGUGGGAAUGAGGAAGAAAAAUCAGCUUGGCAAUAGACAGGGCAAUGAUUGUAGUGGACGGUGAGGGUCAGAAGUGAUUUUCCAAAACAGAAUGAGAACUGGAAAAGGAAAUGAGAAAUUUAUACUUGGGAGGUGUCUGGGGUGGGUCUUUAGCUCAUUUAGUUGUUGUCCUUCAUACUUGAAGUGGAACAAAAUCACCUCACUGGUGAUGACUUUUUUUCUCAUUAAAAUUUUCAUUUAAGUGAAGUAGGACUGCACAAAGUUCUCUGCCUUACUCUAGGUUCCAGGAUCAAUGUGAAGUCCAGUAGAAAGACUAAAGUCAAGAUGACCACUGAUGGCCCAGGGUGUAGUGGAUGACCUUGGCUUUCUCAGUGUCCAAACGAGCUCUGAUUGCUCUACAGCUCUUGUAUGUUCCAUGGCUGUUGGCAUAGAUUAUUCUCAUCCUUCCCCUUCCCUCAGGGGAAGUCUUCACAUGCCUUGGGUAGAAACCCUCCCAACUCAUUGAUGGCGUUUAGGCAUGUCGGUUACCCUCAACCUGAUUUUCACCAACCUGCAGAGACUUUUUACCAAGGUGUGGCCACUGGGCACAUGACAGCUUCUUGGAGCCACAGGUGAGAGGUGGGUGGCAGGUGUAUAUACACCAAAGGAGGAAAGGAGCCCUGAAAAGGGCUAAGAAGACCUCACACCAAAGAUACUGGUCUUCUCAGAAUACCCCAUGCACCCUGGGUUCAUUAUCAUUUGAUAGAGUUCUCUGGUUGGAGUCAGAACCCCCUUGAAUUUGAAUCUAAAAUCAACUAGUGAAAAGUUGUUUUACCCCAGGUGAGACACUUAACUUGUCUCAACCAGUUUUCUUCUGCAAAACAUCAGGUCUGGACUUGAUGGCUUCCAAGGUCCCUCCAGCUCUCUGAUCAUAGGGAUGAGAGGGUGAGAAAAGAAAGUCCAUUUUGGGAUUUGAGUAGGAAUACGCUUAGGAAGAAUGAUUGAUUAAGGAGAAGAGUCAUAUGGAGGGAAGAGAGCAAUGAAAGUGGAUUUGGGGGGUGAUUUGUAGAGAGAUGCAACUAAAGCUCUGUGUAUAUGAAGCAGUGUUAAGUCCAAAUGACAUGAAUUCACAUGCUUCUUCACAAACACAUUCCUAUUAGACAUGUGACCUUGGCAAGUCACUGCAAGUGUCUAAACCUCUUUUUGUUCUGCCCUAAAAUGAUAGAGUUGGACUCAAUGACCUCUAGAGUUCCUCCUGGUUCUAAUUCUGUGAUGAUAUUGGUUACAGCUAGAAAAAGAAAAGAUUUCUUUGUGAAUUUGAGGGAGAACAAGGCAAAAGAUUUGUGAGGAGAAGAGACAAAGGGAAGGGGUGGCUGAGGACAGGGGAAAGGUUGACUGAAAGGGAAAGGUCUGCUGGGGUGUGGUGGGAUAUUGAGUCAGAAGGGUAGGUCUCUAAAUGAGUGCAAUAGUGCUGUUAUGUGUACUUAGGAAAAUUCUAAAAUAUGAAAGAAAA